rnacentral:rRNA from 1 species
UGGCGGUUCUUCAUCCAAUCAGAGGGGUGUGUGUUUAAACGAAGUUACACGAAAAUCUUACCUAAACUAUCAAUUAACUUUUAUUCAUUAAUUAAAGUUUUAAUAAAUUUUGUACACCUCCGUCGGAAGGAUACUUUGAAAAAAUUAUCCUAUAUCUUUAACAAAGAUAUAAGUCAGGUCAAGGUGCAGAUUAUGUUUAGGUUUACAUGCAUUUCUGUAAAAGUUGAGGUGGAAAAAUCUUGAAAGAGUUUCUUAUUAAGAAUUUGAAAGUAAGAAAUUUUAUUAUAAAUUCCUGAAGGAGGAUAUAAAGAAUGUACACAUCGCCCG